GCAAAUAAUAUCGACCCUUUCAACAAUGUUUUCAUAGCCUUUUUUAUUAAGCUGUUGUGACAUUGCCUAGUAGUUCAUUUUGUACUAUUGGUUCUUUACUUAAAGAUAUUGUACUUAUAGACCACCUACAACAGUCUUAUCUAAAACAGGGAGAUUAUCAAGAAAAAGUCAAAAGAAGUCCAAUGUGUGAAUUUUUUGUUUGUUUUUUCCUUGUACAGGAAUUCAUGAUUCUUCAGUGGAGCUGACAUGGGUUUCUGAGGCUCUGAAACAGGACAACCAACCACACAGACAACUGGCAUUCAUAUAAAAUCUUAAAAAUCAAUUUAUGAAGGAGCUGGAUUAUUCUAAAGCUAAGCAAGACCAAAGUCCUACUGGUUGUCAUUGGAAAGCACUCUGACGGACCAGCAGUCUCCGUGAGCAGAAGGCACAGAGCCACGUUCGCCGGUUUGGCCGGGACCUCAGGACUGUGGACUCCUUGGGGCUCAUGGGAUACUUCUGAAGUGUCUGCAAAAGUACAUCAUAAUCAGGCAUGUCAAGUGGGGUCAGGCUGGAAUACACAGCUGGAGGAACAGGAAGAAGAAAUUUGUGAGAGCAAGUGCACGGGAAGAAAGCAGGGCUGCUAUGAAAGGACACAAAAGAGGACUUGGAGACUGUGUGAAGAAUGUGUUAGAAAUGGACUGGAGGUCUGCUAUUUUUACCAAAGGACCUUUGAGAGAAGAGUGCUUUACAGUAAAGACCAGCUGUUGCUCGUGGUCUUAAUUCUGGAUCUGAAACUUCCUGCCUGGUUCCGUGAGCCUCAAAGCAGCAAGAAGAGAAAAGAGCUGCAGGCUCCAUACAGUGAGAUGUCAAGGAGACGGGUGCAAGAUCAACAUGCCAUAGAACCAAAUUUCCAGCAAAAGCACAGUGUCUCCGUACGUGUCCACAGGCCAGGGGCGUAACAAGAUUGAUGCUCAGCCAAGGGGUGGGUACCAAGAGGUACAUGGGGUGCCUGACACCCGUCUGCCUGCUCCCUGUGGAGAUCUAGCAUCUCUGCUACUCCGGGUCUGUCAUUUUGCACAGCAUAAGGGGCAACGGAGAGACUUUGCUGGAUUUCUCUCUUUUAGAGGACGUUUGGAAGGAUCUAAUAUUUCCUUGUGCGGGAUAAACUCGUCCUGACGUCCCUUCCCGCUGCCCUGUGCCAUCCCCGGCCCUGUCCCUGCCCUGCCGCUUCCCUCUCCCCUCAGGCGGGCCCUCGCCCUCAGCCCCGGCUUCCCCGGCGGCACCGGGCCCUCACGGCGCCCUCUGCCCCCGGUCCCUGCGGCUCCUCAGCCGCCCGCCAUGCCGGCCCAGGACCCCGGCCGCAUCCCCUCACCCUCCCCGCGGCUCUGCGUCGCCUCCCCCUUCCCUCCGCUCUCCUCCUCCCCUCAGGCAGCCGCACGCACCGCACUCUCCCUCACUCUCACACGCACACACACACACACGCACACCCGCACAGGCGAUGCAGCUUUAAAGGGACCA
rnacentral:lncRNA from 1 species